GACAGAAGUGUACCUGCUGUUCUUCCAAGCCACCGUACCAACUUUCACUUCUUUCAACUUGCUGCUUCAGAGAGAGCAGUCAUCAAUAUUUUUGUUACAUGAUGAGAUGGUGAAAUUCGUACGCAAGCUAUGUUCCAAGUUUAUGGUUCCAGCAGCUCUGCAGUGCCAUGAGGAGCCUUGUGAAAUUGCCUUUAAAGAAAAGGCAAACCAUUUACCAGUGCUGUGGACUAUGCACUUAAGAAGCUGCCACUGGAAGAGCCACUGAUCAAGCACGCACAAUUUGUAGAUGUACGGCAGAGGGCUGAAAGUGACAUCGAAGAUGUCCUGUACUUUGUUGAAAGGUUUCCCCAUCUCCUCCC